rnacentral:rRNA from 1 species
CCAGCAGCUGCGGUAAUUCCAGCUCCAAUAGCGUAUACUAAAGUUGUUGCAGUUAAAAAGCUCGUAGUUGAAUUUCUGAUAUAAUAGGAUGGGUUUUAUUUUUCAUUAAAUAUUACUUCCAUUUAUUUUUAUUAUAUCAUCAUCGAAAAGAUUAUAUUUUGGUCAUUCAUUUGUCUAGUAUAAGAUUUUCGUCAUUUACUGUGAGUAAAAUAGAGUGUUCAAAGCAAGCUUAAGCUGUUGAAUAUAUUAGCAUGGAAUAAUAAGAUAAGACCUUGGUCUAAAUAUUUUGUUGGUUUGUUUAUCAAGGUAAUGAUUAAUAGGGAUAGUUGGGGGUAUUCGUAUUCAAUUGU